AGUGGCAGAUGCAAAAGGUAUAAACCUCAUCCAGAGAACUUUCUGGAAAAUUAACUGAGCGCAUACUUGCCUGAAGAGCACACUGCUUGGAGAUCAGGAGUGAAAGGCUACCAUCAAAAAAGCUAAGUUUGCUGUAUAGUAAGGAUCAGAAGAUCUGAUCCUGAUUGCAGAACAUCGCUGAUUACAGAAUCUUGGGUUGUGUCUCCCACCUCAUCUUUCCCUACCAUCCCAGAAGAUCUAUAAGGUUCCAUCUGGGAAAACACUAGAAGUUCUUGGAAGGGAAAGAAGGAAGAGGAUUACUGGUUGGAAUAAAAACAGGGUUGAAUGAGUUCCAGAAAGCAGGGUUCUCAAACUCGUGGACAACAAUCUGCAGAAGAAGACAACUUCAAAAAACCAACUAGAAGCAAUAUGCAGAGAAGUAAGAUGAGAGGAGCCUCCUCAGGAAAGAAGACCGCUGGUCCACAGCAGAAGAAUCUGGAAGCAGCACUCCCUGGCAGGUGGGGGGGUCGCUCUGCAGAGAACCCCCCUUCGGGGUCUGUGAGGAAGACCAGAAAGAACAAACAGAAGACCCCUGGAAAUGGAGAUGGUGGCAGUACCAGCGAAGCACCUCAGCCACCUCGGAAGAAAAGGGCCCGGGCUGACCCCACUGUGGAAAGUGAGGAGGCAUUUAAGAAUAGAAUGGAAGUGAAAGUGAAGAUUCCUGAAGAAUUAAAACCAUGGCUAGUUGAGGACUGGGACUUAGUUACCAGGCAGAAGCAGCUCUUUCAACUCCCUGCUAAGAAAAAUGUAGAUGCCAUUCUGGAAGAGUACGCAAAUUGCAAGAAAUCGCAGGGAAAUGUUGAUAAUAAGGAGUAUGCGGUUAAUGAAGUUGUGGCAGGAAUAAAAGAGUAUUUCAAUGUGAUGUUGGGCACUCAGCUGCUCUAUAAAUUUGAGAGGCCCCAGUAUGCCGAAAUCCUCUUGGCUCACCCUGAUGCGCCCAUGUCCCAGGUUUAUGGGGCACCACACCUACUGAGAUUAUUUGUGAGAAUUGGAGCAAUGUUGGCAUAUACGCCCCUUGAUGAGAAGAGCCUUGCAUUAUUGUUGGGCUAUCUGCAUGAUUUCCUAAAAUACCUGGCAAAGAAUGCUGCGUCUCUGUUUACUGCCAGUGAUUAUAAAGUGGCUUCUGCUGAGUACCACCGCAAAGCCCUGUGAGGGUCUCCUGACCGCUCGCUGUUAUGUCUGGUAUCUGUAAACACUCUUUUUGUUCUUAGUCUUUUUCUUGUAUAAUUGAUGUUCUUUAAAAUUGUUCAUGUAUAACAGGGCUUAUGUUUCAGUUUGUUUUCUGUUUUGUUCUAAACAGAAAAUAAAAGGAGUGCAAGCUCCUUUUCUCAUUUCAAAGUUGCUACCAGUGUACGCAGUAAUUAGACAAAGAAGAAACAUUCAGUAGAACAUUUUAUUGCCUAGUUGACAACAUUGCUUGAAUGCUGGUGGUUCUAUCCCUUUGACACUACACAAUUUUCUAAUAUGUGUUAAUGCUAUGUGGAAAAAUGCCCUGAUUCCUAGUGCCAAAGGUUCAACUUAAUGUAUAUACCUGAAAACCCAUGCAUUUGUGCUCUUUUUUUUUAUGGUGCUUGAAGUAAAACAGCCCAUCCUCUGCAAGUCCAUCUCUGUUGUUCCUUAGGCAUUCUAUCUUUGCUCAAAUUGUUGAAGGAUGGUGGUUUGUUUCAUGGUUUUUGUAUUUGAGUCUAAUGCACGUUCUAACAUGAUAGAGGCAAUGCAUUAUUGUGUAGCCACGGUUUUCUGGAGAAGUUGAUAUUUUAGGAAUUGUAUUUCAGAUCUUAAAUAAAAUUUGUUUCUAAAUUUCAAAG
ensembl:lncRNA